CCAAGGUCACAGGCAGAGGAGGCCAGCGGGCCGGGAUCCCCCCUGCACUCACCCCUGCAGGGUCCCUUCUCCUUAGUCCUCACGGCAGCCAGCAAGAGUAACAGCAACGACAAAACACAGUGGCAGAUGGCUCCUUCCUGCUGGCGGGUGGUGGGGGGAGAAAGACCAAGGAUUUCAGA